rnacentral:rRNA from 1 species
GACGAACGCUGGCGGCGCGCUUAACACAUGCAAGUCGAACGGAAAGGCCCUGCUUUUGUGGGGUGCUCGAGUGGCGAACGGGUGAGUAACACGUGAGUAACCUGCCCUUGACUUUGGGAUAACUUCAGGAAACUGGGGCUAAUACCGGAUAGGAGCUCCUGCUGCAUGGUGGGGGUUGGAAAGUUUCGGCGGUUGGGGAUGGACUCGCGGCUUAUCAGCUUGUUGGUGGGGUAGUGGCCUACCAAGGCUUUGACGGGUAGCCGGCCUGAGAGGGUGACCGGCCACAUUGGGACUGAGAUACGGCCCAGACUCCUACGGGAGGCAGCAGUGGGGAAUAUUGCACAAUGGGCGGAAGCCUGAUGCAGCAACGCCGCGUGCGGGAUGACGGCCUUCGGGUUGUAAACCGCUUUCGCCUGUGACGAAGCGUGAGUGACGGUAAUGGGUAAAGAAGCACCGGCUAACUACGUG